GACACUUCCUACGGCUCCCAUGGGCUCUCAGAAGGCGGAAAAAAGAUGAACGAUGUAAUUCCAUCCCCAGGCUGAAACACAUUAGCGCGUUUGGCAAGUGCUCUAUCAGAGGGCCAUUAGACUGAGGCUCGUGCAUGAGGGGAUAGCAUGCUUUUACUUUCACUCUCUUUGUAAUAAAAAACGAUUUCCCGGUCGGAAUAUUAUCGCUUUUUUACGAGAAAAAUGGCAUAAAAAUUGAUUUUAAACAGCGGUUGACAUGCUUCGAAGUACGGUAAUGGAAUAUUUAGAAAUGUUUUGUCACGAAAUGCGCCAUGCUCGUCACCCUUAUUUACCCUUUCGGAUAGUGUCUUGAACGCACGAACAAAACGCCGCUAUUUGGAUAUAACAAUGGAUUAUUUGGGACCAAACCAACAUUUGUUAUUGAAGUAGAAGUCCUGGGAGUGCAUUCUGACUAAGAACAGCAAAGUUUCGACCCGAUGAUUCGUCUGACAAACAAAGAACUUUGCGUCCUGCAGGCCCAGAUCAAAGCUGUCGAGACAUUCAAUGACGUCAUCUUCACAGACUAAUCAACUCUGGCCCUUGAGCAAUUUGCUCAAAAUUGCUACAGAAAAAAGGAAGAAGAUCAAGCAAGCCGAUUCCCAAGCAUCUGCUCAAACUCCAUGUGUGGGGGGCAAUUUCUCGCCAGAGACCAGGCCCAUAUUUGAUUUGAUGGUAUCAUGGCUCGAGAUUUUUUUGAGGAAGAAAUCAUCAAGAGAUAUGCUGGACCCUAUGUCCGAGAGACAAUGACCCAAAACACACUGCCUCCUGGGUUUGCAUUGCAAAUGAGGGCUUUUACCCGCGGUCAUGGAGCUGGGUGGAAGUGCAACUAAAAUGUAGUUUAAAUAAACAUCUGCAUUUUGAAUGUCUUUUUUGUCGUUAUUUUAUUAUCGAAAGCAUAAAGAUGUUGAUGAAGAAAUACUGUACUGCUGUUUUGAGUUAGAAAUGUAACACUUUAGAGUACUUAAGCAUUGAAUAAAAGUUGGGGGAUGUUCACUCCUACAGUAGCCGGGCUAUAAAGAGUCUAUUGUCCUGCUUAUAGGGCUACACCUGCUACAGUACACUUUUGAAAAACAAGUGUUUGAAAACCUGUUUUCAAAAUGCCUCCAGCUGUCCAUCACUACGUUAAAUAAAAACACAGCAUCUUGUUUACAUUUUUUAUUGUAACCUCAAUGUCACAAGUAAUUUGUAUCUACCUUUACAAUUACUUUUAGAGUUUGGGAUUUACAAAUGUGUGCUUUUCAUGUAAUUUUUUGUUAAAUCCAGUUCGGAUUUAAGUAUAACUUUUGACUGACGCCUUAAGUGAGAGGUCUAAUGCUUUAAUAUUUAAUAAUUUCUGCCCUCAGAAUUCAUAUUUAAGGGGCAUUUUUCGCGCCAUUAUUGGUUACAUUGUUUUAGUUUGAACUUGCAGACAGGCACUAAGAACAGCGGGAACAUUCCCUAGUCAGCACCAUUAUUAGUGCAAUGCCCCUUAAAGUGUUGCUCUGUGCUACCCAGUGCAAUGCCCCUUCCUCCUCCUCCCUUCUAGUGAUGGGUCAUUCGCGAACGAGCCGGCUCUGGGAGCCUUUGGGAGCCAGCUUGCAUAUCAGAAGCGCCAAAUCUAUUUAUAGAACUAUAAAAAAAUUAAGAUAUGAAUAAUCAAAAGAUUUAAAUGAAUAGAAUUAACUAAUUCAAAGAACUAAAAAAUAUAUAUGAUAAUAUAGGCCUAAAUGCUCAAGCGCGCACAGACAUUCCAUCUGACUGUCUGCUCAGAUUAACAGCCUCACCUGUUGUUCCUGUCAACAGACACGCAGUGUCAACCAACGAACCAAAGAUGUGUGAGGGAGGGCCGAGCCAACUCACUCACAGUCACACACUUAGCAACCGAGGAGAGAGAGGAAGGACAGCUGUGAAAACAUAUUUUUUAAAGAGCCGUUUGGGAGCCAAAAGAGCCGGCUCUUUUUGGUGAGCUGAGCCGAACGAGCCGGCUCACUGAAAAGAGCCGGAAUGCCCAUCACUACUCCCUUCCCCAUGGACCAGGUCCGUCUU
rnacentral:lncRNA from 1 species